UGAUCAGCAAUCAUGAAUGCAUUUCCAGAAAAAGUAAUAGCAUUAACAAAUUGCAAAUUUACAAACCUCACAGCUCGGUAGACAACUUCACUACUACUGAACUAAAUCUCAUUAGUAAGAUGAAGACUUAAAUGAAACUAGAAAAAUUUUAACCAAUCCAAUCUUUCCCACAAUUCAGAUAAAAACUCUCCCUUAUUAUUACUAGAUUAAUAGUUCUAGGGUCAGUAAAUCAAAUGAGUUGGCUCUUCAUUUUCUUCAAAGCAUGGUGAAUCCAUCAUAAUAGUAACAUAUAUGCAGCACAAGUUCUGAGAUUAAUGUACAUAGCAUGAAUUUUACAGCAAUUGAGUUAUAAAUCUCACUUGACAGAGAUGGAUGGGACAAGUGAUGCACAAAUGAAACAUAUGCUUCAGAAAAGCAAGCUUGCCCAAGCAGCAAUAAAGGCGAAGCCACCAAAUGGAGCCAAGGUAGCAUACUUUCUGUCCUCAAGUAAAGCCACAGCAUAACACGUCCCAGAGAAUGCAAGAAUCCCAGUUGUUAAGAGGCCCCCAAAAACAUUGGGAUUUUUGGUGAUAGGGGCAGCAAGAAGAGCUGCAGUAUGAACCAGAUGGUAUAGAGAUGCUGUAUGCCAUACCUCCUUGUAAGCGGGAUUCUGGGGCUUGAAGACAUGGGCACCAUAUGUGCCCAACCCAAGAGCUGCAACUCCCGAAAGAGCAGCAACUUUGUGCCACGUAUAAGCAUCCAUUGUUGUGCACUGGUUUCUCUGUUGUCUCUCUGAAUUUUUUGCAGGAAACAAACACUUGAUCAUUAAAACUUUAGACGAGCAAAGACGUCCAUCCUCAGCUUCAAACUGAAGGCAGCUUUCGGAAACUCUACAGAUGGGCCUCUGGACUCUGAACUGAAAGCAGCUAUUGAAGGGCCUAAUUGCAAUUAGGGAAAUUGGGCCGAUAAUAGUUUGAGCCUAAUUGCAUCUCAACAACUGUUGUAGGAUAGCUUACAUCUUUUUUC
rnacentral:misc_RNA from 1 species